GUCACACGAAUAUGUGCCGGUACACCGUGAUCUUGGUCGUACUCCUCCCGGCGCCUCAUCUCAUUUUCAUGCCGUCGGUCACGCGGAACGCUGAUGGUGCUUUGUGCAUCUUGUCGGCUAUUGAUGGGGUGAUGUAGGUCGUUCGCAGGAUGAGCGAGGGGCAGAAGAUGAUUGGCCGCCUGUGUAAGCAGUCGCCGGUAACCUUCCACGUCUGGGGUUUGCGGGAGUCUAUCGGCUAUCUGCGCCAUUAAUCCUCCAUCUUCACUCGGCGUGUUUAGUGCUCGAGCGAAAUCGGGGUACAUGUUUCGAGCAAGGAGAGGGUUCUCUCGCUGGAGCCUGGCGUCUUGUUCGGCUAGCUCUCGCUCCCGAUCCUGAGCCUAUCAGCGAUCAGGGCGGCGGGAGUUAUGUCUUUCUCGGUGUACUCCUUCAUCGGGAGUUUCUCCCACUUCUGAGGCUUCAUCACUGGAUAUGGGCUGCGCUGGAUCCUAUUCCCUAGCUUCAUGAUGUCGCCGCAUGUUUCGGCGUCUGUUUCUUCGUCGUCGGGCAUCACGCUGGGGAGGUUCCUCCUCUUGCGUGGUUGGCUCAUCGUUGAAGAUUGGCGCAGACUCCAUUCUGAUACACCCAGCCCAGGUGGGGUUGGUCGAGGCCCAACAAAUUAGGGUUGCCCGGAGCCCAACAGUUCAUUAAGCACACCCAACUCAGGGAAAGGCCCAAUCACCCCAAAAGACUAGUCCAAUGGGGGAAAGGUGGCUCUCCCUUUUAAAGUGGCUUCCUCCUCCCAAGUUAAGCGAGGUGGGAUAAUUCUGAGGCUCACACGGUCGCCGUCCGACUACAAUUGGGCCAACUGGGCCAAUUGCGUCUUUGCCAACGGGUAAUAGUGGAGGAUGUCCUCAUCAUUCCCAACUUCUUAAAAUGGGCCCUAGCUCUGAUACCAGAUGAUACACCCAGCUCAGGUGGGGUUGUCCGAGGCCCAACAAAUUAGGGUUGCCCGGAGCCCAACAGUUCAAUAAGCACACCCAACUCAGGGAAAGGCCCAAUCGCCCCGAAAGACUAGUCCAAUGGGGGAACGGUGGCGCACACUACAGGAAACGCAUAAAAUUUCGUGGGCCCAGAUAUUUUCGUCGAUCGGCCCACGAAAAUAAGGAAGGUAUUUUCGUCGGCCUCGUCACCGACGAAAAUACAGAGUAUUUUCGUGGGCCGGGGGCUAUGUUCGUCGGCAGGCCGACGAAAAUACUGAAUAUAUGUUCGUUGGCCUCGUAACCGACGAAAAUAUGUGUUAUUUACGUGGGCCGAGGCCGUGCCGACGAAAAUACGUCAACUAUUUUCGUCGGCCCCACUGAGGCCGACGAAAAUACGACCACUAUUUUCGUCGGCCCCAAUACGACCGACGAAAAUAAAAGACCUAAAUCGCUCGCGCGCCCGCACCUUCUCUCUCGCUCUCGCUCGUUUCUCUCGCUCGCUCAUUUCUCUGUUCGCCGCGCCGCCGCACGCCGCGCGCACGGACGUCGCAUGCCGCUCGCACGCGCGCCGCGCCGUGCCCCGUCCCCGCGCCGCCACCGCACGCUCGCACGCACGGACGCCGCGCGACGCCGCACGCACGCCGCGCCGUGCCCCGUCCCCGCGCCGCCCCUUCGCCGUGGCUCGUCCUCGCGUCGCCCCUUCGCUGUGCCCCGUCCCCGCACUCCCCUCGCCGAGGCCGCCUCGUCGCCGUGCCCCGUCCCCGCGCCGCCCCUCGCCUCACCCAGCCCUCUCCAUGCCCACCUCCUCGCCGUGCCCCAUCGCCGUGCCCGCCUCCUCGCCGUGGCCCAUCAGCGUGCCCGGCCCUCGCCGUGCCCGCCUACUCGUCGUGCCCCAUCGCCGUGACCCAUCGCCAUCGCCGCCUCCUCGCCGUGCCUCCUCGCCGUGACCCAUCGCCGUGCCGCCCCUCGCCGCGCCGCCCAUCGCCGAGUAACAAGGUACUUACUUAGUUGUUUUUUAUUUUCAUUAAUUGUUAUCUUGUUAUCUUGUCAUCUUGUGAUUAUGAUUUGAGUUAAAUUGUCGAGUUUAACUGUUGAUUGCUUUAAUUCAAAUUCAUAUUUGUCUCUGAUAUAUUUUUUAAUGUUUAGAGUUAAGUUUUAAUCGUUAACGAUAGCGAACCGUAUGCGUCACCCGUUCGGGAACGACGAACGUCACAUUGGCUUGUGAGGUUCGUCGUUCCGGAAUUGUCCACGUAUUUUGGACAGCCUGAGAGUGUAAGUCGAUGCUUGUGAUUUGUGACAUGUGCCUUAUGAUUGACGCGGAAUUUCGGUUGUGUAACCCAGUUGUUCUCUAACACACCAUGUUCAGGCGUGUGCUUGGAGAGCAGCGGGGUUAUGCUGCCGAAAUUUCGCGGCAAUCGUAGGCUACACGUCACAAAUCACAAGCAUCGGCCUACACUCUUGGGUGGGUUUAGGGCCUUUACCUAAUAGGGAGUUCACCUAAGCCACGGACGAUCGUUGAUGUUCUUUGUCUUUUGUUUAGCCUUUGAAAUGGACGAUGAUCGGAGGGUGAUGUAUGAUGGGUGGAGAAAGGAUGGGGCACAUUCGAAUGAAUGGAUGGGUGUAACAAAGGCUUUUCUUGAGCACGCUUUCAAAGAUGCAACUGGUCGUCUAGUGAAGUGUCCUUGCAAUCGUUGCGAGAUCAAGUGGCCUCAGAAGAAGGAAGAAAUGGAGAAACACCUUUGCAAAAGUGGGUUUAUGCCGAACUAUCUUGUAUGGUACCGGCAUGGAGAGUCUAUUAGACACGUUGACGAGGAGGUGGAACUUGAUGACGAUCAUGAUAGGAUGGACGACAUGUUGCAUGAUCUUGGUAGGGAUGUUGAAAUGAACGCUGAGGAGCCAGGGCAGCUUCCACGCGAUGCUCAGGAAUUCUUCCGGCUACUCGCCGCGAGAGAAGAGAGACUGCACGAGCACACUCAGAUGUCAGUUCUUGGGACUCUCACAAGACUAAUGGCGAUAAAGUCGAAGCACAACAUUUCAAACAGUGCUUACAACGACAUCGUCCAACUGAUGGGCGAGGUUCUCCCGGAGAAUCAUAAGUUGCCAAAGAAUAUGUACUUCACAAAGAAGAUGUUGGCUGGUCUUGGGAUGACAUAUGAGAAGAUCGACGUGUGUCCCAACAGUUGCAUGCUAUUCUUUGAGGAGGAUGACAAACUGGACCGUUGUAAGCAUUGCGAAGCUUCUAAAUAUGUCGAGGUGACAAAUGAUGAGGGUGAAUUGGUAGUUACGAAGGUCGCAGCUAAGCAACUUCGUCGGUUGCCCAUCAUUCCUCGGCUUUCAAGGUUGUUCCUCAACAAGGAAAUAGCUCUGCAUAUGACGUGGCCAAAGAAUGGUGUACGUCUCGUCACUAAUCCAGACAUAAUGGUCCAUCCGUCGGACGGUGAUGCUUGGAAGGCAUUUGACGAGUUUGAUCCCGAAUUUGCAAACGACCCUAGGAGUGUACGGCUUGGUCUAUCGACGGACGAAUUCACACCUUUCAAUACCAGUGCAAGCCCUUACUCGUGUUGGCCUGUCUUCAUUGUGCCAUAUAAUCUUCCUCCCGAGUUGGUCAAUAAAGAAGAGUUCAUGUUCCUUGCACUAGUCAUCCCAGGCCCCGAGCAUCCAGGGCCAAAGCUGAAUAUGUUUGUUCGCCCUUUAAUUGAAGAGCUGAAACAAUUGUGGAGAGGUGUGAAGGCUUAUGACAGCCAUACUGAAAAGGAGUUUACCAUGUGCGCUGCUUAUUUGUGGUCAGUGCAUGAUCUGCUGGCGUAUGGAGAUUGGUCUGGAUGGUGUGUUCAUGGUCGGUUGUGCUGUCCCAUAUGUAUGAAUGAUACAGAUGCAUUCAGAUUGAAGCAUGGUGGGAAAGUGUCAUUCAUUGAUGCUCAUCGACGUUGGACUCCAUUCAAGCAUGAUUUCAGGAAUUCGCUUACUGCAUUCAGAAGUGGAGCCAAAAUCAGAAAUGGGCCACCAAAGAGGCAAACUGCACCGCAGAUAAUGGCAUGGCAUGCUUGUCUGAAGCAAGGAGAAAAUGAUAGGUUCCAAGGCUAUGGGGAGGACCACAACUGGACCCAUAUUUCAUCAAUAUGGGAGCUUCCGUAUGCAAAAGCCUUGAUCAUGCCGCACAACAUAGACUUGAUGCACCAAGAGCGUAACGUUGUUGAAAGCAUCAUAAGCACAUGUUUCGAUGUGACUGAUAAAACAAAAGAUAAUAUGAAGGCAAGAAAAGACAUUGCUGAAAUUUGUAAGAGACUGAUGCUCGAGUUGAAAGUAAGCGAUAAAGGGCAUGAGAGUAGGCCGUGAGCUGAUUACUGCCUCAAGCCAGAUGAAAGGAAAGAAAUAUUUAAGUGGUUGAAGAAUCUGAAAUUUCCAGAUCGAUAUGCGGCAAAUCUGAAAUGGACAGUCAAUCUGAAGACCGGUAAAUUGAUCGGUUUGAAAAGCCAUGACUACCAUAUUAUUAUGUAGAGGCUGAUGCCCGUGAUGUUUCGAGGCUAUUUUAAGGAUGAGCUUUGGAGCAUAUUUGCAGAGCUGAGUUACUUCUAUAGGGAAGUAUGCGCAAAGACGGUAUCGAAGAGGUUGAUGUAGAAAUUUGAGAAAGAAAUUCCAAUUCUUAUUUGUAAAUUUGAAAAGGUUUUCCCGCCAGGAUUCUUUAAUGUGAUGCAACAUCUAAUUGUGCAUUUGCCUUGGGAAGCUUUGGUAGGCGGACCAGUGCAAUUCAGGUGGAUGUAUCCUAUAGAAAGGGCGUUGAAAAAGCUCAUGGCGUCUGUUCGCAACAAGGCUAGAGUCGAAGGGUGUAUUGCGGAGGCUUUUGCCCUUAAGGAGAUAUCUCAAUUCUCAACCAGGUAUUUCGCUCGAGCCAACAAUGUGUUUGCUCCUUCAGUGCGACUUCAUGUCGAAAAUGAAUCGCCCCAAGUUAAGCGAGGUGGGAUAAUUCUGAGGCUCACACGGUCGUCGUCCGACUACAAUUGGGCCAACUGGGCCAAUUGCGUCUUUGCCAAUGGGUAAUAGUGGAGGAUGUCCUCAUCA
rnacentral:lncRNA from 1 species